ACGGGCGGACCCCCCGCACUCCCGCGGCGUCUCAGGCUCAUCGCGAGCCGAGGCGGACCUAGAGCGUUCACGUUGGGACCCGAAAGAUGGUGAACUAUGCCUGGCCAGGACGAAGCCAGGGGAAACCCUGGUGGAGGUCCGUAGCGGUUCUGACGUGCAAAUCGAUCGUCGGAGCUGGGUAUAGGGGCGAAAGACUAAUCGAACCAUCUAGUAGCUGGUUCCCUCCGAAGUUUCCCUCAGGAUAGCUGGCGCCCAGGUCGAGACGAGUCUCAUCUGGUAAAGCGAAUGAUUAGAGGCAUUGGGGUCGAAACGACCUCAACCUAUUCUCAAACUUUAAAUGGAUGAGAACCCCGGCUUGCUUGAUCCAAGUGAAGCUGGGGCUCGGAUCCGGGUGCCAAGUGGGCCAAUUUUGGUAAGCAGAACUGGCGCUGUGG
rnacentral:rRNA from 1 species